UACGUAGGGGGCUAGCGUUAUCCGGAAUUACUGGGCGUAAAGGGUGCGUAGGUGGUUUCUUAAGUCAGAGGUGAAAGGCUACGGCUCAACCGUAGUAAGCCUUUGAAACUGGGAAACUUGAGUGCAGGAGAGGAGAGUGGAAUUCCUAGUGUAGCGGUGAAAUGCGUAGAUAUUAGGAGGAACACCGGUGGCGAAGGCGGCUUACUGGACUGUAACUGACGCUGAGUCACGAAAGCGUGGGGAGCAAACAGGAUUAGAUACCCCCGUAGUCCCUGAGCGGGCUGGCAA
rnacentral:rRNA from 1 species